GUGAUUAAAUCGAGCGUGUCUUCAUUGACCUGCUCACCCUUCUCACCAUCCACAGUACACCUGUGCACUGUUUAGCCUGAGCCGGUUUUCCGGUCCAGGUUAUCAUUUCAUACAAACUCUAGUCUUAUGAAUGUAAACGUUUUAAUAACAUAAUA
rnacentral:misc_RNA from 1 species